UACAGAGGGUGCAAGCGUUGUUCGGAAUUAUUGGGCGUAAAGCGCGUGUAGGCGGCUUUGCAAGUCGGGUGUGAAAUCCCUCAGCUCAACUGAGGAAGUGCGCCCGAAACUGCAGAGCUUGAGUACCGGAGAGGAUGGCGGAAUUCCCCAAGUAGAGGUGAAAUUCGUAGAUAUCUGGAGGAACACCGGUGGCGAAGGCGGCAUCCUGGACCGAGAUUGACGCUGAUGCGCGAAAGCGUGGGGAGCGAACAGG
rnacentral:rRNA from 1 species